GAAUUUUAAUUACUAUGUUUUCAGUCUUAGUCAACAUGAUGUUCUUCACUUUUUAUUUUCACUUUUGGCAUAGGAAUUGGUAAAUUUGAUCAGUAACCAUCAAGUAACAGUAAUAAGUGGUGAAACUGGUUGUGGAAAAACCACUCAAGUUACUCAGUUCAUUUUGGAUAACUACAUUGAAAGGGGGAAAGGAUCUGCAUGUAGGAUCGUUUGUACUCAACCAAGAAGAAUUAGUGCCAUUUCAGUUGCAGAACGAGUGGCUGCAGAAAGGGCAGAAUCUUGUGGCAAUGGUAACAGUACUGGAUAUCAAAUUCGUCUCCAAAGUCGGUUGCCAAGGAAACAGGGUUCUAUCUUGUACUGUACAACAGGAAUUAUCCUUCAGUGGCUCCAGUCAGACCCGUGAGUAUGUUUCAGUUAAGGAAAUUUCAUUAAGUGUUAUCAAAAGAUCUAAAUAUUAAAUUGGAUUUUACUG
rnacentral:lncRNA from 1 species